AUUUUUCAUUACAUGUUUUGCAAAUGGAUUCAGAGAGUGAAAUCCUUACAUUGCCUGAACAGAUCUACAGAGAAGGUGAGGAAUCUAUUGCACUGGAAACCGUUCAACAAUACUCGAAUUGGAAUUUAGUUAGUAAAGUAGAAGAAGCUUUAGGCGAGUGUUUAUUUCAGAAGAUUAGAAGUUCGUUUCUUGGUCCUCUAGUUGAAUUGGGACCACAAAAUGAAGGCUAAGAAGGGAAUCAGAUUUUCUGGGAAAAUCUUUCACUAUCUCAUGCAGCAGAGAGUGAAAACAAAAGGAUCAACUCUUUGGUUUAGAGUUGAUUCUCAACCUAUCCGUUUCUCCUUGAGAGAGUUCUACCUCACAACAGGUAAAAAAGUUUUACAAUCGUUUUUAAAGCUUAAUUAACUGCCGUAGAAUGAUUUACAAGGCAUUUGCAAAACUGUUUGCAUAGUUUACAAUCGUUUUUAAAGCAUAAGUAAGUGUCAUAGAUAAUUUACAAGGGAUUUUAAAAGCUUUUGAAAGGGGUUUACUUGAUUAACAAUCGUUUAAGAAGCAUAAGUUAGUGGCAGAUAAUGAUUUACAAGGGAUUUUAAAAAGGGUAUGCAUGGUUUACAACCGUUUUUAGGCAUAAGUAAGUAGCAUAGAAUAAUUUACAAGAGAUUUUAAAAGCUUAAAGAAGUGUUAAACACGUUUACAAGGGAUUUUAAAAGCAUAAGUAAGUGUCAUAAAACGAUUUACAAGAGAUUUUAGAAGUGUUUGCAUGGUUUACAAUCGUUUUUAAAACAUAAGUAAGUGGCAUAGAAUAUUUUACAAGGGAUUUUAAAACCUUUUCUAAGGGUUAAACAUGAUUUACAAUCGUUUUUUUAAGCAUAAGUAAGUGGAAUAGAAUAAUUUACAAGGGAUUUUAAAAGCUUUUAGAAGGGUUAAACAUGAUUUACAAUCGUUUUUAAAGCAUAAGUAAGUGUCAUAGAAUGAUUUACAAGGGAUUUUAAAAGUGUUUGCAUGAUUUACAAUCGUUUUUAAAGCAUAAGUAAGUGGCAUUGAAUGAUUUAUAAGGGAUUUUAAAAGCUUUUU
rnacentral:sRNA from 1 species